rnacentral:lncRNA from 1 species
GAAGAGGCUAUAAUUCAAACAAAUCUCUGCCAUAAUAGCUAUGGGAAUACUAAACAUUACUGGCCAAGUAAAUUGCUUUCUGUAUAAGCGUUCUCUUUUUUUUUUUUGAAGUUUGCCCCAGUGUGAAAGUCUCUCUCAGAAGAUUGGUAACUAAUGGGUAAUACACAACAUUCCAAGAUAGAUUCUGGUAUCUUGAGCCAACAUAUCAGGAGAAUGGUACAGAAAAACUGAACAUUACCAGCCCCUCUACCUUAGCUAACUGCAAAAUGAACAACUUCCAAGGACUUGCUGCUACUCUCCCACAAAAUGAAAAGUCUAUGUAUCAAGAUGUAGAAUAGUACAGCUAAGCACAAGGCUCCUCCCCAGUCAAAGAGGAGCAGAGAGUGAAGAUCACUAUCAGUAAAAGCGCUGGCCUAGAGUUCCAUCACUAAACUGAUAUGUAACCCAAGGCAGGUCUUCUUUCUUUGAGUUUCAGUCUCAUCAUCUUUGAAGUGAGAAUAACAGAGCAUAAAAGUCAAACUUGAACCAA